rnacentral:rRNA from 1 species
CCUACGGGAGACAGCAGUGAGGAAUAUUGGUCAAUGGGCGCGAGCCUGACCCAGCCAAGUAGCGUGAAGGAUGAAUGCCCUACGGGUUGUAAACUUCUUUUAUCAAGGAAUAAAGUGAGGCACGUGUGCCUUUUUGUAUGUACUUUAUGAAUAAGGAUCGGCUAACUCCGUGCCAGCAGCCGCGGUAAUACGGAGGAUGCGAGCGUUAUCCGGAUUUAUUGGGUUUAAAGGGAGCGUAGAUGGGUUGUUAAGUCAGUUGUGAAAGUUUGCGGCUCAACCGUAAAAGUGCAAUUGAUACUGGCAGUCUUGAGUACAGUUGAGGUAGGCGGAAUUCGUGGUGUAGCGGUGAAAUGCUUAGAUAUCACGAAGAACUCCGAUUGCGAAGGCAGCUUACUAAACUGUCACUGACAUUGAUGCUCGAAAGUGUGGGUAUCAAACAGGAUUAGAUACCCCGGUAGUC